rnacentral:rRNA from 1 species
AGUGAACGCUGGCGGCGUGCCUAAUACAUGCAAGUCGAACGGAGAGGCGCACGGGUGAGUAAUAUAUAGCUAAUCUGCCCCUUGCUGGACGACAACAGUUAGAAAUGACUGAUAAUACUCCAUAGCAAGGGCUGCGACUAGAUCGUAUCCGCUAGUCGGUGGAGUAACGGCCUACCGAGGCUAUGACGGGUAACUGGUCUGAGAGGAUGAUCAGUCACAGUGUAAGGUAGACACGGUCCGAACUCCGACGGGAGGAAGCAGGAGGGAAGCUGGCGCAAUGGGGGAAGCCCUGACGCAGCAACGCUGCGUGGGGGAUGACACUGGUCUGUGCUUAAACUCCUGUUGUGAGGGAAGCGGUACCUAACGAAUAAGCACCGGCUAACUCCGUGCCAGCAGCCGCGGUAAUAC